GAACAACGGCGAACACCUUCCCAAGUUCUGCAGGGAAGGCAACGGAUGGCGCGUCACAAGGAGGCAGGAACAGCGGUGCGGCGCGCGGCUUGAAAAGGCGGGAAACCUUGUCUGAUGAGACGAGAGGCCUUCUCUGCGCGUCCUUUUGGCAAACUCUAAUUGCCACAGCAGGUUCCCUCAAGCCCUGUGCCUUUGCUGCAGGUGGUGGCCUCUGGUGGACGAUGAAUCAGCAACGGUUGUAUUUUAAAAGGCUGCCCCGUUUCCCAGGCACAGAACAAGAGCGGUGUGUUUGCUAGAAGAACACAUCCGGGUAAUUAAUUAUUUUGAAUCCUGGCCUUCUUUAAAGGCAGGGCCUUGGGCCUUCUUGUGAGUCUGCGGAGUAUAAACAACAAAGUAUACUUGCUAUUCCCCUCCCCCAGCAUCACGUCUUCCACAGAAUUCCGCUGAACCGCCCUAUUUCUGGAAAUCCGCCCCCCACCCCGCCUUCAGUUUCCUGCCUUAGGGCUGGUAUCUAGGACUUCCAGAACAAAACCGUGUAUAAUCUGACGAAAGAAACUAUUGCUUGCCAAAGGCCAUCAAUCAAUAUAACCUUCCCUCUGUCUCUGAGGAGCUCCUGAGCAGAGCUGCUUUUCUUUUUGGACUUCCUGGGUGUCUCUUCGUGUGACAUGGAACUACAUAUGUCCUAAAAUACAUACGCUAAAGUUGAUGAGAUUCAUAUUUUGGGGCGAGGGACACAUGAGUUUUAAAGUAUUGUGGCAUGGAAGGUUGAUUCACACAUGCAGUCACUUGUGACUGCCAGGCGUGAGCAUUGCUGAAUAAAUAUGACAGCUCUGUCACGUUUGAUCUGAGAAGGCUGGUCCACACAUGCAAGUCAUCCAUAGAUGUUGGACGAAUACGCACGCGUGAACUCACAUUCAGUUCCUUAGGUCUAAGACGCAAGUCCCUCCGAACUCCUGCUCAGUUGUGAAUUCACUGGACUACUUAAGGAAAGCCACUAGUUUUCAGACGAAUCUACUUCACAAGGUUGGAGAGGGAACCAAGGAGAACGCUACUGUAAAACAUUGGAAAGCGCUAGAAAAAUGAGAAUGUUCUUGUUAGUUGCUUUCAUAGCUGUUGCUGCUAUGAUUUUGACUAUUUUUGUAGCAACCCCAAACAGGGCUAAGUAGCUCCCCUCAUCUUAUGGGCCAGCAGCCUCCCGGCCUCCGCCAGAACCGCGGCCCAGCAUCUGAGCCUCUUCCCGCCAGGAUAUGGCGUCUCCUCCACAGCGGAGCCCGCCAGUUUGUCAGCCUGGGUCCUAGUUCAGUCCCCUCGUGCGCGCAGCAGGGGGCUCUGGUUUCACUUGUUGCCCUGCAGGCCGCUUGCAGCAGCAGGAGCCAUCAACGUUUCUGCUGCCGGAUGAUUGUAAAUAGGUUUGACUAGCCGCUGAUCCCGGGGUCAGGGCUCUUCUCCUCACUUAAUCCCGCGCUCUCCAAACACCCUCGCCGCCCCCACUCCCGUCUCCUAUUCACUCCGCAUCACUAAGCUUCGCCUCCCACCCCUGCUUCUGCGGUUCCCGCGACACCCAAUGGAAGGAGCUCCAAGCCAGCAGCUUCAGGGGCAAGGUCUAGCCACGCCAGCCGCAGGAAGCUCCAGGCGGUUGUGGGCCCUAAUCUGUAUUUACUAUUAUAGGGAAGCCAGGGAGAAGGGGACAAGAGUUUGCUUGUAGAAAGACCAAUACUCCGCACCUCCUUCGGAUAAAGGAGAAAGGAGGGAUUCCUAAAGGAUUUACCAUGAAGCUGAGAGGCUCUACAGCCUGGAAGGCCCUCCUACUGAAGAGGCAGGAGUCUCUAAAGAGCAACUGAGGAGAACUCAAAAGAAAAUAAGCGUGAUUUAAAUUGCGAGGAGAGGGGGAGGGGAGAUCGAAGGAAGCUACAAAAGCAGAAACUUAAUUGAAGCAAGAGGAAUAUCUGGAAAUCGGGGAGAACCCGAAUGAAAGCGAGAAGCGCCUUAACCCAUGUGAAGUACCACCAUCUACCAUCAGUGAAAGUUAGUUGCGCCUAAAUCUAACAUAAAGCAAUAGAACUCGCUUUAAUUGUGCUUAAAUUGAAUCCCGUUAAUUUCAACGGGAUUUAGUCACGACCAACCUUUGCUGUAUAGUGAACCAGACUAUUACAGGUCGGAGAAUCUAAGAGGAAAAAUGAAGGGUGACCCGCUGAGUUGGAGGUGGGUGGAGAACUGGAAUGGUUCUGGUAGAAGGAAGGCGCUCGCAAGGAAAAUGAGGACGUCCAGAGCCUGACCUAAAAAAGUGUUACCAAAUCCCUAACAGCUGCAAACAAGCCUACUUUGCAGCGGUUACAGAACAGCCCUAUGAAUCUGGCCCUGUUUCGCCUCCCAUCUGACCUGUCUGAAAAAAAGAGGCAUAGAGGGAUAUUCCGCUCUACUAAAAGCAAGGAGUUCACCUAAGAUAUACUUUUAUCUCCACCAUGCGUUUGCAGGAUAAAAGUAGACAAUAAUGAAGACGGGGGAGGAGAUUAGAAACAAAACAAAAAGCCAAACUCCUAGAGACUAAAGACUGCUGGAAAGAAAGUAAGGGGGCGGGGAGAGAAAAAGCACAAGGAAAGUACUGAAGAGUAAAGGGAUAGAGAAAGAGCCUCGUCUUGAGGGAGAAAAUAAUCCUGGAGGAAUCCUGAGCUAGACAAAUGGAAGUGAAAGUCACUAAUAAAAGUGAAAUGGCGUCGGAGGCUUGGCAUAUAACAAUGAUUUCAUGCAAACCAACUUAUCCUACUAAAUCACACGAAGCCAGGGAAUCCUGGUGUCACAGAAUAGCCGAUCCCAAUAGCCCUUCUGAGUUCCUCUUUCGGGAUCACCACCUUGCACCGGGGUUUUAUGAAGAUUAUGAUUUGACCUGCUUGCCCACAGAAAGAGAAAAGAAAACAAGCAAAGCCAAUACAACCGACAUGACGUAAUGAACUUUUUUACUCUGGGAGAAGAAAGCGAUAUUGAGCACAUUUCAGCCUAUUAAGUAAGGAUGUUACGCCCUAAAAGUGUCGCAGUUGUGUCACACGUAGAACUAAAGGAAUCAGGAAAGGAGGAGCAGCCGAGAGAUACACCGAGAGAAGAGCCCAGCAGCCAUACACCGCGCACCGAACUGGGAUUAAAUGAGUUUGCCUUGGCCAAUCGGAGUGCGCCGGCGGGGGAUUAUUUGCAUGGCGCACUGAGGAGUGACGUCCGGAGGUUGAAAUGAAAUCCUGUAUGCAUAUCAACGAGAUCUGAAGAGCAUCUUCUCAACGUAUCUCCCCGCAUUUUGUCAUUAUCCCUAGACAAAACUGACUGAUUUGCCUUACAGCUGAAGUGAAGUUGACAUCCCUGAGUCCCUGUUCUCCGAAAUCAACGAAAACGCUUUCCUUUGCACGAUAUUCUUCAUUUUGUUCUUCACAAAGGGGCAAGGAAAAGUGAAUGUAAAAAGCCACAUUGAGUAAUACAAAUAGGAGCCAAACGAAUAGAUAGAGUAUGGGGAGGGGGGAAAGAAAGAAAGAAAGAAAGAAAGAAAGAAAGAAAGAAAGAAAGAAAGAAAGAGAAAUUUCAUGGAGACAAAAUUUAUUCAAAAUUCUUGGGGGUUCCCCCCUUUAAUAAAAAAAGGAUAACAACAAGGAAAGAGGCGCAGACUCUUAUUAUUCUACUAAUAAUAGCCUCUGGUGUGGGUUUUAAAAGAAUAAAGACCUGUGCUGUACUGGAGUGAAACUUGGAAUGAGAUUAUGCAAACGUAUUGAUAUGAUUAAGAUAUUUAGGGGGAAAUACUGUCUAAGUAGCUCAAAUUCUUUUUCCGUCCGCGACCGUUUUUUGUUCUCCCUACAACAACACUCUUAGAUUUUUGGAUGUUGCAGAGCGAGCUGAUAUAGAGGCACUCCGGCCAAUUCAGUUCAAAUCUAUUUUCCAAACACUUCGGCCAAGUUUGGAAAACCGCUGGGUUUACAUGUAGCAGCCUCCCGGGUUUCUAGUAAGGCAAAAUGCAACACAUUUUUCGUUGCGUCUAAAAAGCAGAGGCAUUUAUGGGUUACCUAUAUAUACUGGAGUUACAGUAACUGCAGAGAAGCAAGUAACAUCACUGGCUGCCUUUGCUACACGUCGGGAUCACACCGAGUCGACUUAGGGGC